rnacentral:misc_RNA from 1 species
CUGGCCUCCUGGCAUCCGUGUGUACCUGACUCGACUCAAGGGUCGUCAUACAUUUGGAAACGAAUAAGGGAACCGUCAAGUGCUGUAAAACUUGAGUUUUUUUCGAGAUAGCGGUAAGGCGUGCCACUCGAUUCUGCGUGGGACAUCUCCCCAUGUUACAAGUGUCUCGUGAAUUGCUCUUAGGUUUCAAUAAAAAAGUGGCCUGGUAUAGGGGUGUGUUAGCGUGUGUGCUUUGCUGUGCCAUAUAGCAAGUCGGACCUCGGCGGAAUAACCAUGGAGCCGCGUUACUGCCUUCUGCUCUUGUUUCUUUCAACAACGCUGUUAUUUUCUUAUACAACAGCCCAAAUCAUCAACUGUGAUUUUGAGGACGCGGGAGACCCACUGUGUGGCUUCUAUAACGUGGACACCGACGAUGCUGACUUCAAGCGGUCUACUGGUGCCAACGCAGGCGUCACAGAUUCCGCCCCUCGAUUUGACCACACCUACGGCAACGUCACAGGACAUUUUCUGGACACCGAUGUAAGUACCUUCGGCUUUGGUUCUCCCACGGCCCGAGUCUUCAGCCCGUCUGUAGCAGUCCCGGCCGGUACGCCCAAACUCUGCUUGGAGUUCUACUACCACAUGUUUGGCACAGCGCUGGAGAGCAUGCACGUGUACAAGAAGAUACGCAAUGUGGAGACCUCCAUUUACAACGCCACUGGAAAUGUGGGAGAUUACUGGGUCUAUACCCAGGUUGAAAUCGCUGUUGAUAGCAGUAUCACUAGCAUUCAGAUAAUAUAUGAAGCUAAUAUUAGUUGGGGUGUGCGUGGUGAUAUUGCCUUAGAUGACAUUACCUUGUCACUGGCUGAGUGUGCUGGAGCGCUCGAUGUAACAACUCCGGCACCCCAACCCACUACUCCCGUCACACCCCUGGCCUCAUAUGAUUGCACCUUUGAUGACCCAAAUGACCGCGUGUGCACGCCCAAGCCCAACGAUCGCAAUGACUUUGAUUGGAUCUUUAGGCAGUCUGGCUAUGUACCCAAUGAUGAGGCGCCUGUGUACGACCACACAACAUCCACAUCUGCUGGGUUGUACCUGUACGUCCCCCAAGUCGCUAGUCAAAGCAAGGUACAGGAAUUGGGUGAGUUUCGCACCGCUCUUUUUCAGCCUGCCUUCCAGCAGAAAUGCCUUCAGUUUUACUACUACAUGAGGGGCAACCAGGUGGGCACGCUCAAUGGGUACGUGGUGCGCGACGGCAUGCCGCCCCCAGUCCAUAUACCGUGGAACCGAACCGGCGAUCAGGGAGGCUACUGGAACCGAGGAUUGCUAGACAUCUACCCAACCUUUGCCAACUAUCGGGUUGCAUUUGAGGCAAAUCGUGGCAGGGACUAUGAUGGGUGUAUCGCUGUUGAUGAUCUCAAAUUGUUGGAUGGAAGAUGUCCGUCCGAGGAGGUGACGUGUGACUUUGAGACGCUCCACAUUUGCUUCUUUACCCAGGAUCGUACAGACGAUAUGGACUGGGUAGUCCAUAAUGGAGCAACUCCAAGCUAUGGAACGGGGCCGAAGAACGACCACACCUAUGGCAAUAGCACAGGUAAUUACAUGUACAUAGAGACCUCAUCCCCCGUCAACGUCGGCCAUGUAGCACGUCUUAUCUCCCCGGCCAUCACCGAGACCCAUGGCCACGCCCACUGCCUCAUCUUCUGGUACCACAUGUACGGCCAGCACGUGGACGCUUUGAACGUACUCCUGGCCAACACCACAGCACCCACACAGCGCAAGCUCAUCUGGACAUUGUCGGGGAACCGUGGGGACAAGUGGCGUGCUGCCGAAGUUCAUCUCCAGAGUGAUCAGGAUUUCCUGGUCAUUUUUGAAGCAUUCCGAGGAAGCAGUUACCAAGGUGACAUCGCCCUUGACGACGUGUGGAUCACAUCCACUGAGGGCUGCCCUGGAGAGGCUGGACUGAAGAACUACUCCAGUAUCACUUGUGACUUUGAAGAGAUUGAGAUCUGCUACUACGUGCAAGAUACUGCAGACGAUUUUGAUUGGGUAUGGCAAAAUGGCGCCAAUCAGCGACUAACCAAUACUGGGCCAGUUGAAGACCACACGACCAACAGUCAACUUGGGUUCUACAUGUACAUCCAGGAGGAUUACAACACGUUCCCCGGUGGCACUGCUCGGCUGCUGUCUCCAGAAGCCAAGGUUCAACCUCGACAAUCCUGCUUAGAGUUCUGGUAUCACAUGUAUGGCCGGGACAUUGAGUCUUUACAUGUCUACAUGAAGAAGAGUGGUGCAACCGACCUGCCUGAUGACCCUGUGUGGAGUAUGAGUGGAGAUAAGGGCAACUACUGGCACAGGGCCACGGUGGAUGUACCGGUCACAGACUACAAAUUCAGGUUUGUCUUUGAGGGGACCAGAGGGCAGGCAUACAGAGACAACAUGGCUAUUGAUGACGUCACGUUCUACGAAGGAGCUGAUUGUCCUCCAUUUACGACCGGUGCGCCAAUUCCAACGACCACGCCAGCGCCUGUCUCGUCCGCAAACUGUGAUUUUGAAGACGUGAACAAUACAAUGUGUGGCUACACCCAGUCCAUCUAUGAUGAGUAUGAUUGGUCAUAUGGGAGGGCUUCUCCUAUACCGAUUGACCAUACACUAGGAACUGCUAAUGGCCACUACCUGUACAUCGACACCAGAUCUUACUACCUCCGAGAUGACGACAGAGCAGAUAUCUACUCACCGCUACUCAUGGGUACCAACCAAUCCCAGUGCUUGGAGUUCUACUACUUCAUGUCUGGUUACCGACCAGAUUUCCUGAUGAUCUACUUGGCUGGUUGGGGCGACACUCUCGCCAUCGAUCCACUCUUCUCCAUAUAUGGAGAUCAGGGGGACAAAUGGAACAUGGCUCGUGUGGAUAUUCCUCCCAUGGACUCCAACUUCCAGGUUGUGUUUGAGGCUUUGUACAGCUACUACAACAAUGUCGGCCUUGACGAUAUCAAGUUCACAAUGGGUGCUUGUCCAAAAGCCACGGCUGCUCCAAACCCCAUGGACGGUAGUUGUGACUUUGAGUCUGGCUUCAAAGCUUGUGGCUACGAGCAUCAGAGAUAUUACGACUUCUAUUGGUUGGAGCACAGCGGUGCCACGGCAUCAAAGGGCACAGGGCCACAGGUGGAUCAUACCCUGGGGACUGAGAAAGGGACGUACAUGUACGUGGAGGCAUCCCUACCCCAGCGGCCGGACGAUCGAGCUCGUCUAAUGAGCCCUCCCAUGUACCAUGUGUCAGGCACCCCCAAAUGCAUGGUAUUCUUCUAUCACAUGAACGGCCCCGAUGUGGGCAAAAUCAACGUCUAUUGGCUGACCCAAACGGCAAACGGGUUGCUGCUGUCACUGACGGGCAACUCCAAGGACAUGUGGCGGCCAGCGGCAGUGGACUUGACUAACAUGGGGGAGCGGUUUCAGAUUAUAUUUGAAGGUGUCGUUGGUUACGGAGUGGCAGGUGAUAUGGCCAUUGAUGACAUCAGCCUACGGUUUGAGCCGUGCCCUGGCUUUGCUAAGGAAGCCUUCACUUCUUUUGAGAUGCCUGGAGACUUGAACGGGUUCCACCAAUACUAUGAAGCUGACACCUACUGGCUGUGGUAUGAUCAAUACAUCACAGACUCUACCCUCCCUGGAGAACUGCUGGCAGGUGAUGGCUCCUUCAUGUACCUGGAUGGCACCUUCUUCAAACCCGAUACCUGGGCGGUCAUCUUGAGUCCCCUCAUGGCCGGCCACACUAAUGAACACUGCUUGGACUAUGACUACACCAUAUACAAGGAGGGAGAACUGAUGGUGUCUGUAUAUCAGAAGGCUGGCGUGCCUUAUGACUUGAUGCUCAAGACUGACGUGACAGGCUGGACGCACGACCGCAGGACACUGACCAAGGCAGAAGUUGGUGAAGACUUUAUGAUUUUCUUUACUGGCAAACUUGGUUCCAGUAGCACGGGUUACAUCGCCAUAGAUAACCUGAUGAUCCGGGAAAAUAGCUGCGAUGAACUUGCAAAGCCCGGGGAUACAUCGGCCCAGGUGUCUGGCGGUACGAUUGCUACAGAAGUCCUCCUUGGCAUCUUAUUGGCCGUUGCUUUUGUGGUCAUAGCCACUGGAGCUGUGUACUUCAUCCGACGUCGGCGAGUUCUCAAGGAUAUCCCCUCUGUGCUGUACAAGAAUGAGACGGGCGAUGCUAAUGACAACAGAGAGGGCUCACUAGGCAGAGAUCUCAGUAUUGCCAAUCCAAAUUAUGACAGCGCUACGCUCCAGAGCAAUGCUUAAUUAAUGGCAAACCCCAACUGGUGGUGUAGUCUAGUCCACUAUGGAGCCGUCCCAAAUACUCCAAUUUUGAUAAUCAACUAAUCAUGCAAAUAGCAUUUUUUCAAUUCAAAUAUACGAAAAAUGUGAGCGGUUGCCAGGAGACAUGGAUGGAAUACAUCAAUGUUAUUUUAAUCGUAUAAUGGGGGGCUUUGGGGGUCCAAUGUUACACUUUUAUCAAAAGCCACUUUUGCCCAUGAUUUGAGAGCUCCCAUGAGGACUUAUUAUGAUGCUCAAAUGUCUUCUUCAAAUUUGGUCACUAUAUAUCAACCACCGCCACCAGUUCUAUUAAUUUUUGAUAAGCGCAGGUGCACGCAAAUCCCGUUUGGUGGUCAGUUUAGGCCCACGCAUGUUACACUUUAACAGCGCAUUUCAAACCAAAUAUUGAGUAUAUAUUCAAUCAAGUAAAAGUUAGAAUAAUAUACUAAAUUUUUAUUUGACAAUGCACAGCAGUCUAUCACAAGUUUAUUCACAAGACUGGGCACAAGUAAAGUGGAUGAACAAUAACAAACAACUUGAGACUGGACUUGUAGUGGACUGGUCUGCAACACUGCCCAACUAAAACUGUGAAUUUUGAAAUUAUUCCUAAAUGUUGACACAAGUAUGACACAUGAAAAGAGACAAAAAAUGUAGGCAGUCUGGAGUACAUGCAACGUUUAAUACUCAGAACUUUUGAAUACCACAUGUAGAGUUUAAUUUGUACAAAGAACCAAUACUUCAAUGAUAAAGACAACGAAUCCAAUGACUUGAAAGCAAUGUAGAAAUCUAAACAGCUUAACUUCUUAGAAUCUGCUUCUGUAGUUGAAAUCAAGCGAUACGUACCAGGUACAUGUUAUGCAUCUCAGGGCAUUUUGGCUGGUACCCUUGCCUGUAGUUGCUUUAAUAGUCUUUUCACAUGCUUAGCAACUUUCAAUGCUUUGUGAUUUCCUGAAAUUGGCUUUUGCCUGUGAAAUAAUUCUUGUAAUAAAUUUAUUGUUUCAAAAAUAAAUAUCAAGUGUGAUUUAUAAAAAUUAGAGAGUGACAUAAUGUAGUUUGUAUAUUUAAACUUUGAGAUUUUGGAAGUUACAUAUUGGUAAUUGUAUUUUUUUAAUUUUCCGAACAUUAUCAAGUAUUUUUAAACAAUCAGUGAAACAGGAGCAAUGUUGCCAACAAUUUCAAAUGCAAAUAGUUCCUUGCAUUUUAAAUGCAGCAGCAGUCAGUGUAACACAUAACAAUAACCUUUGAAAAGAAUGUGAU